GGAUUAGAUACCCUGGUAGUCCACGCCGUAAACGAUGAGAACUAGCCGUUGGGCCCCCUAGGGGUUUGGUGGCGCAGCUAACGCGAUAAGUUCUCCGCCUGGGGAGUACGGCCGCAAGGUUAAAACUCAAAUGAAUUGACGGGGGCCCGCACAAGCGGUGGAGCAUGUUGUUUAAUUCGAUGCAACGCGAAGAACCUUACCACCCCUUGACAUCCACGGAACUUUCCAGAGAUGGAUUGGUGCCUUCGGGAACCGUGUGACAGGUGCUGCAUGGCUGUCGUCAGCUCGUGCCG
rnacentral:rRNA from 1 species